CUGUUUAAACUAGGGUUACUUUGACCGCUGGAAUACGGCACGUCUCAUGCAGAAGACAUGGGCACUGGUGGCAGCUUUCCACAGCGUUGUCUUAGACUGUAUGUGCUGGGGAAGCCAGGCACUGUGGAAAGGUCCAGAAGAAUGAAAGUCUCUACCAGAAGACAGCACCAACUUGCCAGCCAUUUUUUAUAAGAAGCAACACUACUCACUUGGUUCGCUGUCCCCGGGCGCACGUGAGGCCUGCCGCGCCUGGUCAGCACCCCCCGCCUCCUAUGCCCCAGGCGGGGCCAGGGACAGCCCAGGCUGUCCCCGCAGGAGGGUCGUCCUGUCCCGCUGGUGCGGAGCUGCGCUGUGAAGCGCCAGCCAUUCCCCGACGACCGGGACGAGAGGGCAGAGCCCGGCCACAGGUGACUCUCGACUCUCUGCCCGCCACCACGCA
ensembl:lncRNA